CUUCCGCUGCAGCUGCGCGCCAGGCUACCGGGCGCCGUCGGGUCGGCCCGGGCCCUGCGCAGACGUGAACGAGUGCCUGGAGGGCGAUUUCUGCUUCCCUCACGGCGAGUGCCUCAACACUGACGGCUCCUUUGCCUGUACUUGUGCCCCUGGCUACCGACCCGGACCCCGCGGAGCCUCUUGCCUCGACGUUGACGAGUGCAGCGAGGAGGACCUUUGCCAGAGCGGCAUCUGUACCAACACCGACGGCUCCUUCGAGUGCAUCUGUCCUCCGGGACACCGCGCUGGCCCGGACCUCGCCUCCUGCCUCGACGUGGACGAAUGUCGCGAGCGAGGCCCAGCCCUGUGCGGGUCGCAGCGCUGUGAGAACUCUCCCGGCUCCUACCGCUGUGUCCGGGACUGCGAUCCUGGGUACCACGCGGGCCCCGAGGGCACCUGUGACGAUGUGGACGAAUGCCGGAACCGGUCCUUCUGCGGUGCCCACGCCGUGUGCCAGAACCUGCCCGGCUCCUUCCAGUGCCUCUGUGACCAGGGUUACGAGGGGGCACGGGAUGGGCGUCACUGCGUGGAUGUGAACGAGUGUGAAACACUACAGGGUGUAUGUGGAGCUGCCCUGUGUGAAAAUGUCGAAGGCUCCUUCCUCUGUGUCUGCCCCAACAGCCCGGAAGAGUUUGACCCCAUGACUGGACGCUGUGUUCCCCCACGAACUUCUGCUGGCACGUUCCCAGGCUCGCAGCCCCAGGCACCUGCUAGCC
rnacentral:lncRNA from 1 species